rnacentral:rRNA from 1 species
ACCAUGGCGACGAUCCGUAGCGGGUCUGAGAGGACGACCCGCCACACUGGAACUGAGACACGGUCCAGACUCCUACGGGAGGCAGCAGUGGGGAAUUUUGGACAAUGGGCGCAAGCCUGAUCCAGCCAUACCGCGUGAGUGAAGAAGGCCUUCGGGUUGUAAAGCUCUUUCGGCAGGGAAGAAACGGUGUAAGUGAAUAACUUGCGCUAAUGACGGUACCUGAAGAAGAAGCACCGGCUAACUACGUGCCAGCAGCCGCGGUAAUACGUAGGGUGCGAGCGUUAAUCGGAAUUACUGGGCGUAAAGCGUGCGCAGGCGGUUUUUUAAGCCAGAUGUGAAAUUCCCCGGGCUCAACCUGGGAACUGCAUUUGGAACUGAAAGACUAGAGUGUAGCAGAGGGGGGUAGAAUUCCACGUGUAGCAGUGAAAUGCGUAGAGAUGUGGAGGAAUACCGAUGGCGAAGGCAGCCCCCUGUGCNCA